rnacentral:lncRNA from 1 species
AUACUACUACUACUACUGGUAGUGGCGAUACUACUACUAGAAGUGGUAAUACUACUACUAGCGGUAGUGAUGACCAAAAAACAAACAACGCACAACUAUUUAGCGAUAUUCUAAAAAUGCUUAACACGGCAAAUACAAAUACAGAUAUAAAUGCAAACCCAUAUGCAAAUUUAAUGAAAAUGUUUGGAGGUAAUAAUAGUGACGGAACAAAAAAGAAUUCACUUGAGUAUUUAACAAAUUUAAUGAAAAUAUUUGGAGGUAAUGAUACAAAUAACAACAAUGUAAACAAUGAAAAUAUGGAGGGUCUACGAUCACUAUUCGAUAAUUUUAUAAAUAUGAAUAAAACACAGAAUGCACCAUUUAGUUUAGAUAAAAGUAUAAAAAAUGUUGUAAAUGAUAAAAAUAAUUAUGGUAAUAAUAGUAAUACGCAUGAAAGUGAUUUUUUAAUAGAUUUACAAAAUUUAAUAAAUAAAAAUAAAGAAAAAAAUAAAGAAAAAAAUAAAGAAAAAUAUGAACAGAAUGAGAAAUUAAAAAAUGUAUUUUUAUCAUUAAAAAAAAAUUAUAAUCCUUAUUCUUAUGAAAGUAUUAUAUUAGAUGAAUUAAUAAACGAAACUGAUAUAAAAAAAAAAUAUAACAUAGAUGAUAAUUUUGAAAAAUAUAUUUUAAAUAGAAGUUACAAAGAUAUGGACCUAAAUGUAAUGAGUAUUGAAGAAAAAGAAAAAAAAACUCAUAGGUUUGAAGAUAUAAACGAAUUAGAUGAUGAAGCAACAAAAGAGAGUGGUUCAAUUAAUAGUCAUAUGUUAAGAGAAAAAAAAAUUGAAAAUAUUAAUAUGUUAAGGGGGUUAAUAAGUAAUGAUAAUGAUGUUGGUACAUUUGAUGAAUGUAAUUGUGCUUCACAUGAAGCUAACAAAUGUAUAUUAUCUUUUAUUAGUUUUAAAAAUUUAGAAUAUAUGUUACUAAGUUUAAAUAUAGAUGUACAAUAUAUGGUUAAGAGUUAUAUAAGUGAUAAAAAAAAUUUUAAAAAAACGGAUUCGUUUCUUAUUCCUUUACCCCCAUUAAAUGCAAAGACUGAUGUACAAAAUACAUCUAACUAUGUUUUAAGAGUACCACGUGUAUUGUUUUUAACAACGAAAAAGGCAUUUACUACAACCCUAGAUAGAUACUUUUUCAAUCUCUAUGAUAUAAUGAAUAAUCAUUUUAAAUGGGAUACAUAUAUGUGGGGAUCUGGAUUUAAAUAUUAUCCAUUAUUUUUUUCAAAAAAUAUAUAUACCUUAUUACAUAAGCAUGAUAAUGAAAUAGGAAAAAAACCAUUUGAUAUGAUUUUUGUUCAUAAUAGUUUUAUUUCGAACUAUUAUAAUCAUUAUUUUUUUUUAAAACAUAUGCCAAAAGCAACAACAUUACUAUUCACACAUGAUGGAUGGGAUAAUAAUGUAAAAAAUCAAUAUAUGUAUUUAUUUCCUCAUGUAUUUUUUCAAAACCAAGUAAAUAUAUUCGAAUAUAAUCCUUUAAAUAAUAUAGAUGUAGAAACAGAAAAAAAUAAACUUUUAAAUAAUUUAUGGAAUAAAGUUUCUAAUAGGAGUAAUGCACCUGAUGUUAUAGCUAAUAAACAUAAAAAAAAAAAAAAAAAAAAAAAAAUAUUAUUAGAAAU